rnacentral:rRNA from 1 species
GUAGGUGGCAAGCGUUGUCCGGAAUUAUUGGGCGUAAAGCGCGCGCAGGCGGUCCUUUAAGUCUGAUGUGAAAGCCCACGGCUCAACCGUGGAGGGUCAUUGGAAACUGGGGGACUUGAGUACAGAAGAGGAAAGCGGAAUUCCAAGUGUAGCGGUGAAAUGCGUAGAGAUUUGGAGGAACACCAGUGGCGAAGGCGGCUUUCUGGUCUGUAACUGACGCUGAGGCGCGAAAGCGUGGGGAGCAAACAGGAUUAGAUACCCUGGUAGUCCACGCCGUAAACGAUGAGUGCUAAGUGUUAGGGGGUUUCCCGCCCCCUUAGUGCUGCAGCUAACGCAUUAAGCACUCCGCCUGGGGAGUACGGUCGCAAGGCUG